rnacentral:rRNA from 1 species
CGCGGGAUUGGCGGGGGCACGGGGGGACGGGGCGCAGCAGGCGCGAAAACUUUACAAUGCCGGCAACGGCGAUAAGGGAACCUCGAGUGCCAGGUUACAAAUCUGGCUGUCGUGAUGCCUAAAAAGCAUUGCAUAGCAAGGGCCGGGCAAGACCGGUGCCAGCCGCCGCGGUAACACCGGCGGCUCGAGUGGUAACCGUUAUUAUUGGGUCUAAAGGGUCUGUAGCCGGCCGGAUAAGUCUCUUGGGAAAUCCAGCAGCUCAACUGUUGGGCUUUCAGGAGAUACUGUUCGGCUCGAGGCCGGGAGAGGUGAGAGGUACUUCAGGGGUAGGGGUGAAAUCUUGUAAUCCUUGAAGGACCACCAGUGGCGAAGGCGUCUCACCAGAACGGACCUGACGGCAAGGGACGAAAGCUAGGGGCACGAACCGGAUUAGAUACCCGGGUAGUCCUAGCCGUAAACGAUACUCGCUAGGUGUCGGCCACGGUGCGACCGUUGUCGGUGCCGUAGGGAAGCCGUGAAGCGAGCCACCUGGGAAGUACGGCCGCAAGGCUGAAACUUAAAGGAAUUGGCGGGGGAGCACCACAACGGGUGGAGCUUGCGGUUUAAUUGGAUUCAACGCCGGAAAUCUUACCGGGACCGACAGCAAUAUGAAGGCCAGGCUGAAGACUUUGCCGGAUUAGCUGAGAGGUGGUGCAUGGCCGUCGUCAGUUCGUACUGUGAAGCAUCCUGUUAAGUCAGGCAACGAGCGAGACCCACGCCCACAGUUGCCAGCGUACUCUCCGGAGUGACGGGUACACUGUGGGGACCGCCGCUGCUAAAGCGGAGGAAGGAAUGGGCAACGGUAGGUCAGUAUGCCCCGAAUAUCCCGGGCUACACGCGAGCUACAAUGGUUGGUACAAUGGGUAUCUACCCCGAAAGGGGAUGGAAAUCUCCUAAAGCCAAUCUUAGUUCGGAUUGAGGGCUGCAACUCGCCCUCAUGAAGCUGGAAUCCGUAGUAAUCGCGUUUCAACAGAACGCGGUGAAUACGUCCCUGCUCCUUGCACGAAUUCGCCGAAUCACUAGU